rnacentral:rRNA from 1 species
CGCCUGUUUAUCAAAAACAUAGCCUUAAGAUAUAAUAAUUUAAGGUAAGCCCUGCCCAGUGGAUAAUUCUUAACGGCCGCAGUACCUUGACUGUGCUAAGGUAGCGUAAUCAGUUGGCUUUUAAAUGGGGUCGAGAAUGAACGGGGCCAUGGGAAAAAACUGUCUCUUUUCUAAUUAAUUGAAUUUGCUAAAUAGGUGAAAAUACCUUUUUAAAGAAAAUAGACGAGAAGACCCUUAGAGCCUUUACAAUAUAUUAUAAAUUAUUUGUUUUUGUUGGGGCGACAAGAAGACAAAUAAAACUCUUCUGCUAUACUGGACGAUUAUAUUAUGUAAGAAUAGGCUACCUUAGGGAUAACAGCAUAAUUAUUUAUAGUUUGUGACCUCGAUGUUGGACUAGGAACUUGAUGACUAGUCGUCAAUAAAGGAAGUUCUGUUCGAACUCUUAAAUUCCUACGUGAUCUGAGUUCAGACCGG